AUUCUAAUUCUAAAUUCUUGAUGAUUCUUACAAGUCAGUGGCAAGGCUGGUCUUUUGCUCUGCAUAAUAAAGAGCAAACUGCCUGUAUGUCAACACGGCUUUCAGGGUGAAACUUCCACGAGCGUCCUCCGGUUUGCUUGUUGUCCAGAAAAGUUGAAAAGACUCACGCAGCCCAGUCAGGAGACGCCAAAUUGUCGUGAAAAUUAGACAACACUCGCAGACUUGUCCUCUGAAGUUGCUCAGACACGAGUUUACAACUGAGGUGCUGCAAACCACAUGAGGACAAAGAUGACCUGAAAAGUAACAGAAGAUCAAUGAAUCAUCAGAAGGAUCAACAGGCCAUGCUGACUGAAAAACCCACAGUCUAUAAGGUUCUGACUGUGCAGGGCACUACUAUGCAUCUUGAAUCUAGACCUGUAAAGGAAUCACCAUUGCUUCCAGAGCCAUGUGCAGCCACCAGUUUAUUACCUCUGCAGACCAGAACUGGAGCUGCGAUUCACACAUCUCUCUGUGCUAAGGAACAUCCAGGACAGAGAGCGGUGAAGAUAUCACAGCCUAAGAAAAUGAUUAAAGACGAAACAAGCAAAUCCAGAAACAUGGCCAUAACUCAGCAAAAAUGUACUGAUGGGCAGAAUUCUCUCUUUGGCAAGCAAAAGCCAGGACAUGAAGGAAUGAUGAGUAAUAAUCCUAAUAAUAAAACUGAUCAGGGGUGUCACAGUGGGACAAACAGUAACAUCCCAAAACUCCUAAGUGAAGGACCCUGGGUUAUAGAUUUUACAGCAUUCAACAGCAUUUGCCCCAGAUCCAAGAAUAUUGAAUUUGACUUUAUUUGCCAUGGGCCACCAUGUACAUGCAGUAAAAGUGAUCCCUUUGGACCCUGGUGUGUUGAGGAAAAUAACUGAAUAAAACCUCUGUAACUGUACAAAAAAAAAAAAAAACACCACCACAGUAUACUAUGUCCAUGUCAGUUUGUAUUAUCUCAAAUUCUUUAGGAUAAUGAGUGACAUUUGGCCAUGCUCUGAAACACACAAAACCUCAUGACACACAAGCUCAGAAAUCACAAGAAUUCUGCCACCAUUUGUUCUAUGAGAAGUUCAAUGUCAUGAUGUAAAAUUUGUCCUAAAACCUAAGUGGAAAGUAGUUAGUUUAAAAGGUGAAGUUAUAACUUUAUCUAUGACCGUUACAAAGCACUGACAAUGGAGGCUACUUCAAUAAUUGUUAAGCAAACAUCACCUUACAGAAGCUAAUAUUUUGAAUCGGUUUAUUAUUAGGCUAAGAUGUGGAGAAUCCCUGUGGAUUAGCUGUCCCUAUAAAUUAGAACAUGUGUAUUAAUAUAAACUGCAGUAGUAGCUAGAUAAGUUUGGCUUGUCUAGUAUUUUAUUUUAUUAAAUUUGUAGAUCCAAAGAUUAUAGUCUAUGCCUUAAGAUGAAUAAUUGUGCAUGCAAUACUACUGUAUUCUUGAAAUAAAACAUGCUAACAACUA